UACGUAGGGUGCAAGCGUUGUCCGGAAUUAUUGGGCGUAAAGAGCUCGUAGGCGGUUUGUCGCGUCGGAUGUGAAAACCCGGGGCUCAACCCCGGGCCUGCAUUCGAUACGGGCAGACUAGAGUUCGGUAGGGGAGUGUGGAAUUCCUGGUGUAGCGGUGAAAUGCGCAGAUAUCAGGAGGAACACCGGUGGCGAAGGCGGGACGCUGGGCCGAUACUGACGCUGAGGAGCGAAAGCGUGGGGAGCAAACAGG
rnacentral:rRNA from 1 species